AGAUUCACAUCUGUUCUAAUAUUUGCAUUCCGCUACCCUAUUGCGCCCGGCUAUGCACUUGCACUAUUCCGCCACUAGGUGUCUCCCUUCCCCAGACGUUCGGUGUCCUCACAUUUUCCUGCCUGCGACGUGAUCCCUUUCUCAAUGAAAAGCCGUCUCUAGGCUGCAAUGACAGUUUCAUCCCCAAAGCAACAGCAAACGGUGAGCGAUCGAUCCCACCUCCAGCCGGCCAAGCCAACCCUACCUGGGCCGACCUGUCCCCACCUGAGCCAGUGCCAAGCCGGCAGUAUGUGCCCCUAACGCUGCAGCGGAGGAUCUCCCGGGGGGCCGGCAACCUGACUGCCAAUGAGUCGCAACGUUCUGGAGCUGUGACCCAGAGGGGUUGGAUCCCCUGGGGUAGAUGUGCGAUCCCCCCACUGAUGGCUCCGGCGGGGACUGUGGGAGAUGAGGGGCGGUGCAUUGGGUGCAUAGGCAGAGGCUGGCAGGGGUGCCCGACAGCUGCAAUGCCAUGGGCAAGGUGGGCAUCGCUGCUCCUCUUUGUGGCUGUGAUGGCAGCUCUGCAGAUGCCCGUACGGGCCAUGGAAGGCUGCUGAAUAUGUUCCGGAAAAGGUGAAGAAAGCGGAAAAGAAAUUGGAAGACAAUCCGUAUGACCUUGAUGCAUGGAGCAUUUUCAUUCGCGAGGCACAGAAUCAGCCUAUAGACAAAGCACGGAAGACAUAUGAGCGACUUGUUGCCCAGUUCCCGAGCUCUGGCAGAUUCUGGAAACUUUACAUUGAAGCAGA